AUAAUAAUGCCAAUAAUGGAUGCCUAGGAGGCUUUGACCGAGGAAGGACGCAGACGGCGGCGAUACUCGUUGGGGAGGUGCCAUCAACCUUUGAUCCAGCGGUUUCCGAAUGGGGCAACCCGUCCGAUUUAUCGGACAACCAAGGAUGAACAAAUUUCCGCAAGGAAGUUAAUAACCCUUGGCUGGGAACGGCGUGAACUGAAACAUCUUAGUAACGCUAGGAAAAUAAAUCAUUAGAGAUUCCGUCAGUAGCGGCGAGCGAAAGCGGAACAGCCUAAACCACUAGUAAUAGUGGUGUUGCAGGGCAGACGAUAUUCGAUGAAAGUUAGAUAGCAGAAGAGUCCGGAAUGGCUCACCACAGAACGUGAUAGUCGUGUAAGCGAAAUUUAACUUUCCGAUAGUUUGUUCCUAAGUACCAUGGGGUACGAUGAAACCCUGUGGGAAUCUGGGGCGGCCACGCUCCAAGGCUAAAUAUCAAAGUCUACCGAUAGUGAACUAGUACCGUAAGGGAAAGGUGAAAAGCACCCCGGGAGGGGAAUGAAAUAGAUCUGAAAUUAUUGGCUAACAAGCAGACAAAGUGCAAUUUAUUGUAUGAUGUCGUGCCUAUUGAAGAAUGAACCGGUGAGUUAUUGAUUGCAGCAAGCCUAAGUAAGGCAACUUACGGAGGCGAAGUGAAAGCGUGCCCUAACCGGGCGAUUAGUUGCAGUCAUUAGACCCGAAACUAGAUGAGCUAACCUUGGGCAGGGUGAAUGUAAGCGAAAGCUUACAAGAGGCCCGAACCCGUAUCAGUAGCAAUUGGUUGGGAUGACCUGAGGUUAGGGGCAAUAUGCCAAACGAAUCUAGAGAUAGCUGGUUCUCCCCGAAAUAUAUUUAGGUAUAGCGGUUUGUGUACGUUUUAGAGGUAGAGCACUGAAUGAAAUCUAGUAGGGAAACCUAUUAGUUUCAAUCAAACUCCGAAUGCUAGAACUUUUGCAAACUAGUCAGACGCGUCGGGCUAAGCUGAUGUGUCGAAAGGGAAACAGCCCAGACUCCCAUCUAAGGUCUCUAAAUAAAAGCUAAGUUUUGAACGAAGUCAGAUUUCACAGACAACCAGGAGGUUGGCUUAGAAGCAGCCACCCUUUAAAGAAAGCGUAACAGCUCACUGGAGGAUGAUAUUUGGCGCGGAAAAUUUAACGAGGAUUAAGCUUUUUACCGAAGUUGGAGAAUUUUUAUAAAUUGGUAGGGGAGCGUUCUAUUUGCCUUGAAGCGGAACCGUAAGGUUUGGUGGAGCGGAUAGAAGUGAGAAUGCCGGUAUGAGUAGCGAAAGCAAGGUUAGAAUCCUUGCCGCCGAAUACCCAAGGUUUCCUCCGCAAUGUAAGUCAGCGGAGGGUUAGUCGGUCCUAAGGGUGUGCCUUGUUAAAGAGGUCUAACCCAAUGGAUAAGUCGUUGAAAUUCGACUACAGAAUAUGAAUAGUCUAAGGGAUUAACGAAAGUGGAAGAGUCAAGCCGCGUACGCGCGGUCUAAGCAGUAAGAUAGUGGUAAUUGGUAAAACCGUUACUGUGUUUAAUUAAGCUGCAAAUGAGUAUGACUUCGCAAGAAGUUAAAUUUGAUAGCUUUCAGUUUCCGAGAAAAUUUUCAUUGGGGCUAGUAAUAGUCAAAAUUCAUAUUUUACCGUACCGCAAACCGACACAGGUGGGUUGGUCGAGAAGACUAAGGCGAUCGGGAGAAAGAUGUUCAAGGAACUCGGCAAAAAAUCUAGGCGUAACCUUUGGGAGAUGCCUUGCCUACAUUAGUUUGUAGGUUGCAACAAAAGUUUAUUUACCGACUGUUUAUCUAAAACACAGGCCUCUGCAAAGCUGAAAAGCAAAGUAUAGGGGCUGACGCCUGCCCAGUGCUGGUAAGUCAAAAGUAGAGAGUGAAGUCUCGCAAGAGAUCAGCUUUUUACUUAAGCUCCAGUAAACGGCAGCAGUAACUAUAACUGUUCUAUGGUAGCGAAGUUCCUUGUCGGGCGAGUUCCGACCCGCACGAAAGGCAGAACGAGUAAAUAACUGUCUUGAACAUUUACCCGGCGAAAUUGAGAUGGCUGUGAAGACGCGGCCUAAUUGUACAUGGACAAAAAGACCCCGGGAGCUUUACUGUAGCUUGGCAUUUGAAAGUAUAUUUCAACUGUUUAGAAUAGGAGGGAGAUUCGUCGAAAUAUGAAAUACCUCUCUUUGAACUAUGCAAUCAUUACCCCUAGCCGCAUAAAAAUUCGGCAGAGGGACAGUGUCUGGCGGGCAGUUUAACUGGGGAGGUUGACUCCUACAAUGCAACGGAGUCGUAUAAAGGUACUCUAACUUUGGAUGGAAAUCAAAGUGAUAGCGCAAACGCACAAGAGUGCUUGACUGCGAGACCUACAAGUCGAGCAGGGACGAAAGUCGAUGUUAGUGAUCCUGUAUUGCCUAGUGGUAGGCAUACAGCUUAACGGAUAAAAGCUACCCCGGGGAUAACAGGCUGAUCGCAUCCAAGCGUCCACAGCG
rnacentral:rRNA from 1 species